UACCAGCACCCCCGAGUGGUCGGGACGUUUUAUUGGGCCUAAAGCAUCCGUAGCCGGUUUUACAAGUCCUCCGUUAAAUCCAGCUGCUUAACAGAUGGGCUGCGGAGGAUACUAUAAGACUAGGAGGCAGGAGAGGCAAGCGGUACUCAGUGGGUAGGGGUAAAAUCCGUUGAUCCAUUGAAGACCACCAGUGGCGAAGGCGGCUUGCCAGAAUGCGCUCGACGGUGAGGGAUGAAAGCUGGGGGAGCAAACCGG
rnacentral:rRNA from 1 species